AUUAACAGAUGUGUAUUGUUUAUGCAUCUACGUCAUAGAGUUCAGGUGGGAAAGGUCAGGAUUGUGUUUAUCAAGGAAUUCCUCUGCCAGUGGUGUGUAAAUGAUCAUGUAGUGACCUGGAAACAACUCCCUAAGCAUGGAUCGUUUACACUUGCUGAUCCUCAGUCUGAGAGAUGAGAUGGUGGAGAAUUGCUGCAUGGUGAGGGACUUUAUAACCAGUGUUCUUCCGAAAAGACAUAACACCGUAGGUGUGGCUACUGGGGACUUGAAUCAGGAUUCCGAUGGCCGUGUUUGGGUAGAAGUUGGUGGACCUGGUCUAAGACUACGAGUGAUGCACCUUCACCCAGCAAACCCCUCUGUAGCCGAGGCACUAGUGAUGCGUUUUUCUGCAGACAGUCAGUCAGAAAAUAUUAUAAAACUUCCUGCUGAGGAUGAAAUAUCCUUGGCAUCAUUAGAGGACUACUGGUUCAACCAUUGGCAAGGUCCUUAUAUCACAGCAGACUCCAACCAAAACACUGUCAACUUCAGGAGGUCUAGGCGGAGUUUAAGGAAAUCGAAAAGGAAGUUUCGGUGCUCUGUCUGUAACAAGAAGAUUGUGGGACCCAUUGACCACCAUGAUGAAUUACAAGAAGCACCUUGUUUUGAUGGAGAAAAUGUCCUUGCCCAUGUUCCAUCUGUUAAGCUUGAAACAAGAAGCCCAAAGUCAGAAGAGGCAGCAGCUGCUAGCUCAGAUGAUGAGUGCAUAAAGCCAGCUACCAUUGAGGAGGCACUUUCCAGGUAUAGUGCUAGUGAUGAGCAGUUAGCACGAGCUUAUCGUGUGAUGGACAACGAAUUACGCACCAGUUUCACAUUGUUUGCUGAAGAAGCUGCUACUCAGGAUGUUGUUGAUGGUGUAAGCAUGAACAUUAAUAACAGUAGGAGUUCACCUGAUGCAAGUAUGAGAUUAGCUCCUCCUCUCCUAAGCCCAAGACAGUCUAGAUCAUGUCCAUGCAGUCCAAAAUUGUCGGGAAGAAACCACAGCCCUAAAUCAAAUACUGGCAGCCCUAAGCCUCAGUCUCGUUCGGUUAGCUCCAAAUUCUCACUCAGCAGUUCACUCAUGGCUAUCCACAGGCAAGCCUCCAAUUCUUUCAGACCAGAUUUUCUUCGCUUUGACUUAGGCAAGGGAGAUUUUAGUAGUAAUAAUUCUAAGAAUGGCUCUCAACAAAACAGUCUAAGAAAUGAGUCUAGGCAUUCUCGCCCCAGUGUAGAGGCACACAAUAGUAGCUUUGGUGAUUCACACAUGGAUUCAAGUAACAGUGGGUCUCUAAGGGAAGAGUCCAGCAGAAAUGAGCCCUCAAGAAUUGCUUUACAUGAAAGUCAGUCACUCCCCACACUAAAACUCUCAAAAAUGUCUAUGACUUAUAAAGGAGGUAUUAUUAUCAACCACGAUAAGGAUGCUAUACAAUUUCCUUAUUCUGAAACGUCAAAAUUACUUGUAGAAGGAGCCUGUGCACUACCCUCUACCCCUGAAGAUGACACAGUUUCAGAAGAGCUGUCUGGCCCUGCAUUGCUUCUUCCUGAUGUUGUACCCAGGUAUGAAGUUGGAGGAUCACCCUUAAACCAAAUAUCUGAAUCUGAACCAUCAGCAUCCUCUGCUCCUCCAACCCCUGUAGAAUAUUCUGUUAGUUACCAUUAUGAUACUAAGGAGGGAAUAGUUAACCUAGGUUUUGAUGGACAUGAAGAAAGUACAGAUUUCACCGACAUGAAUGAAGAUACGAGUACCAAAGCUUCUGAUACAGAAAAUCAUUCUGCUCAAAAAAGUAGGAGAGGAUCAGCUGAUAGUGAUAUUGACAUAGGGAAGCACAAUAUACAGAUGAACAUUGUGAAUGUACAUGCUAUCUCCAUAGGUCAUGUAUCCCAAGGUGAAGACAUGGCAUUGUCACUGGAGGUCCCUCAGUCUAAAGCUCAAGAACUCUCACAUCCCGGUGUUGAGGCCAACAAUAUUUCUGAUGUUAUUGAUGCAUCAUCAGGCUGUCCAACACCACCAUCUACAGCUAGCCCUUCACUCUCUUCUCGCAUCACUUCUGAUACAACUGCAACUAGCUUGCAACGCCAAGUGGAUGACAACACUGAUGAUGACCCUCCAUAUGACCAUAUGCAAGAAGCUCGGCAACUUGUAUUUUGGUGGCAAAAGACAAACUAUAGUGAUGAUUCAGAGUUUUGUCAAAAUAAUGCUGAAUGUAAAGUGAAACAAAAGCCACUACUACUGUUUCUUCAUGGCAUGGGUGGCAGUAGCGACCACUGGCGACAGCAACUCUGGUAUUUUGUUAGUUGUGGAUAUGAGGUUGUAGCCCCUGACCUGAUAGGUCAUGGGCUGAGCUCAGCACCACAGGAUCCCUCCCAGUACACCUUCUCACAAAUGCUUGACCACAUAACCCUAGUGUUUGACCUGUUCGUGCCACAAGGUCGCAAAUGUGUUGUUAUUGGUCAUGAUUAUGGAUGCUCACUAGCUGCUGCAUUAGCAAGGGGGCGGGCACUGUCAGUUCGCCUGGUUAUCUUAGCAAGUUGUGGUGGACCCAACCCACUCAUCCCCAACCCUCCAAACAAAUCCUUCCUACAUUCACACCUUGCCACAUUUUUGAGUCCAUUCUUAUCUUGUGGCUGUUGCAGUCGUGAAAUUCUGUAUGCUCCAAGAGGGAAACACUUUGCUGCUGCCUCACUUACUGGGUCAGCCAUCACCCCAACCCCACGUUAUGUUCUGGAGUAUGUGGCUAAAGGACAGAAUUGGCCUGAAGGUGAUGUUGCCUUUCACCGCCGUAUCACUGUCCCUACACUCUUGCUACAUGGCAUGAAGGAUGACCGCAUCUCACUGGUGGAGAUGUGUGAAAUGGAAAGGACAAUACCUAGAGCAUUUUUAGAAAUGGUCCCUGGUGGGGGUCAUGACCUAAUGACAGAUACACCCUUAGAAGUAUGUCAUGCUAUACAUCGCUUCAUCAAGAGGUGGAAACAACAACUAUAAAUAUCUGACUUAGAAUUUAUGCAAACUCCAGUACAGCCAUCGACUUCAGUACCAGAACCUCUACCAUCCACCUCAGCCCAGUAGGGCCACAGCAUAACUCUCCACUCUCUUCACAGUCAUCCACAAACACCAGCACCCACAAUUUAAGGUGCCACCGCCUCUUCAAACUGAUUUUUCACGGCUGUAAUUAUGCUUAGUCUGACCUGUGAAGAUUGAAAACUUGUACAUUCCAGCUGCUAGAAUUCUACCUACAGUUAAGUUUACCAUUUUAAUAAACUACAAAAAUCCUUAGCCUUUUCAUUAUUUUCUUACAUUUGAUGUCAUUGUCUAAUAAAUUACCAUUGAUACAGGUGUAUCAAUGUACUUAAAUAAA